AAAAACCUUACCUGGGCUAAAAUGCCUCUGACCGCCAUAGAGAUAUGGCUUCCUGGGUAAAACCAGGCAGAGUGCAAGGUGCUGCAUGGCUGUCGUCAGCUCGUGUCGUGAGAUGUUGGGUUAAGUCCCGCAACGAGCGCAACCCUUAUCAAUAGUUGCCAGCGGUUCGGCCGGGCACUCUAUUGAGACUGCCGUUGACAAAACGGAGGAAGUGGGGACGACGUCAAGUCCUCAUGGCCUUUAUGUCCAGGGCUACACGCGUUCUACAAUGGCGAGUACAAAGCGCUGCAAACCUGCAAAGGGGAGCCAAUCGCAAAAAGCUCGUCUCAGUUCGGAUUGGAGUCUGCAACUCGACUCCAUGAAGCUGGAAUCGCUAGUAUCGCAGAUCAGCAUGCUGCGG
rnacentral:rRNA from 1 species